rnacentral:rRNA from 1 species
GAUGAACGCUGGCGGCGUGCCUAAUACAUGCAAGUAGAACGCUGAAGGAAGGAGCUUGCUCUUUCCGGAUGAGUUGCGAACGGGUGAGUAACGCGUAGGUAACCUGCCUGGUAGCGGGGGAUAACUAUUGGAAACGAUAGCUAAUACCGCAUAACAGUAGAUGUUGCAUGAUAUCUACUUAAAAGGUGCAAUUGCACCACUACCAGAUGGACCUGCGUUGUAUUAGCUAGUUGGUGAGGUAACGGCUCACCAAGGCGACGAUACAUAGCCGACCUGAGAGGGUGAUCGGCCACACUGGGACUGAGACAAGGCCCAGACUCCUACGGGAGGCAGCAGUAGGGAAUCUUCGGCAAUGGACGGAAGUCUGACCGAGCAACGCCGCGUGAGUGAAGAAGGUUUUCGGAUCGUAAAGCUCUGUUGUAAGAGAAGAACGAGUGUGAGAGUGGAAAGUUCACACUGUGACGGUAUCUUACCAGAAAGGGACGGCUAACUACGUG